ACAAAAACGAACCAUGGGUUAUGCUGCCUUCACGUGCUAUGGGAAAUAUAGUAAAUACUAGUUAUGAGCUCAAACAUUUUACAUGAAUGCCCUCUCAUGUCAUAUUUUUCACUGGAGAACUGGG